rnacentral:sRNA from 15 species
UAGAGUUGCAAAACAUUCCCGAUGGGGUUCGUCAAAGCUAUGACGAACAUGCCUUGUAACCUAAAAUAAUAAGGGGGAAACAAAACAUG